rnacentral:ncRNA from 1 species
AAAUAUGACAAACAGUGGAAUAGUAGCUUAGUUGAUUUCUAUGUAGCGAGUUAAGGAUAGUGAAAGCUUAACUAGAUUUCUAAGUGAACAACAUCCCAGUUUAUUUUGGUUGAAAGGCCAACGGUUGCAGCUCGUUAACGUUGUAAAUAAGUUGGUUUAUUAAUUUAAACAAUUUGGGUGGUACCGCGAAGAUUUCGUCCCUUGU